GGGGGGGGGAUGGUCAAAAUAAUUAGGUGCCAUGUCCCCCUUAUUGGAUUAGUGACUGGGCAGCAAUGAAACCACAUCUCAUUCAGUGGUUUCCCAUAGCCAUGCCCCCACUGGAGAUUACUCUCGUCCUUCUAGCCAUACCAAUUCAUACCAGCAAUGGACACUAUGAUACAGUGAAAAAGGUCAGCUGACACUCAGCCAAUCAC